rnacentral:rRNA from 1 species
GUGGCUCACCUGAUUUGAAGAGCUUGCUCAGAUAUGACGAUGGACAUUGCAAAGAGUGGCGAACGGGUGAGUAACACGUGGGAAACCUACCUCUUAGCAGGGGAUAACAUUUGGAAACAGAUGCUAAUACCGUAUAACAAUAGCAACCGCAUGGUUGCUACUUAAAAGAUGGUUCUGCUAUCACUAAGAGAUGGUCCCGCGGUGCAUUAGUUAGUUGGUGAGGUAAUGGCUCCCCAAGACGAUGAUGCAUAGCCGAGUUGAGAGACUGAUCGGCCACAAUGGGACUGAGACACGGCCCAUACUCCUACGGGAGGCAGCAGUAGGGAAUCUUCCACAAUGGGCGAAAGCCUGAUGGAGCACCGCCGCGUGUGUGAUGAAGGGUUUCGGCUCGUAAAACACUUUUGUAAGAGAAGAAUGACAUUGAGAGUAACUGUCCAAUGUGUGACGGUAUCUUACCAGAAAGGAACGGCUAAAUACGUGCCAGCAGCCGC